AUGAACGCUGGCGGCGUGCCUAAUACAUGCAAGUCGAGCGAACGGACGAGAAGCUUGCUUCUCUGAUGUUAGCGGCGGACGGGUGAGUAACACGUGGAUAACCUACCUAUAAGACUGGGAUAACUUCGGGAAACCGGAGCUAAUACCGGAUAAUAUUUUGAACCGCAUGGUUCAAAAGUGAAAGACGGUCUUGCUGUCACUUAUAGAUGGAUCCGCGCUGCAUUAGCUAGUUGGUAAGGUAACGGCUUACCAAGGCAACGAUGCAUAGCCGACCUGAGAGGGUGAUCGGCCACACUGGAACUGAGACACGGUCCAGACUCCUACGGAGGCAGCAGUAGGGAAUCUUCCGCAAUGGGCGAAAGCCUGACGGAGCAACGCCGCGUGAGUGAUGAAGGUCUUCGGAUCGUAAAACUCUGUUAUUAGGGAAGAACAUAUGUGUAAGUAACUGUGCACAUCUUGACGGUACCUAAUCAGAAAGCCACGGCUAACUACGUG
rnacentral:rRNA from 1 species